GAGGUGCUUGCACCUUAUCUUAGCGGCGGACGGGUGAGUAAUGCUUAGGAAUCUGCCUAUUAGUGGGGGACAACAUUCCGAAAGGAAUGCUAAUACCGCAUACGUCCUACGGGAGAAAGCAGGGGAUCUUCGGACCUUGCGCUAAUAGAUGAGCCCAAGUCGGAUUAGCUAGUUGGUGGGGUAAAGGCCUACCAAGGCGACGAUUUGUAGCGGGUCUGAGAGGAUGAUCCGCCACACUGGGACUGAGACACGGCCCAGACUCCUACGGGAGGCAGCAGUGGGGAAUAUUGGACAAUGGGGGGAACCCUGAUCCAGCCAUGCCGCGUGUGUGAAGAAGGCCUUAUGGUUGUAAAGCACUUUAAGCGAGGAGGAGGCUACUGAGACUAAUACUCUUGGAUAGUGGACGUUACUCGCAGAAUAAGCACCGGCUAACUCUGUGCCAGCAGCCGCGGUAAUACAGAGGGUGCGAGCGUUAAUCGGAUUUACUGGGCGUAAAGCGUGCGUAGGCGGCUUUUUAAGUCGGAUGUGAAAUCCCCGAGCUUAACUUGGGAAUUGCAUUCGAUACUGGGAAGCUAGAGUAUGGGAGAGGAUGGUAGAAUUCCAGGUGUAGCGGUGAAAUGCGUAGAGAUCUGGAGGAAUACCGAUGG
rnacentral:rRNA from 1 species